rnacentral:ncRNA from 2 species
GAGUGUUGGGUUCAAAUUAUACAUCAUU